rnacentral:lncRNA from 1 species
UGACGCUCGAAUAGUUUCAUAUCGAAUAGAAAAAAAAAAUCAUGAUUAAAAAUAUAAGGAUUAGUAACUCUAAUAUUAAUAACUAGACUUAAGUAUUUUGGAUCGGUGGUUUAAAGCAUUUACGAGUGGUUUGGUUCAUUACAUUUGAUAUCAGAACCGAUUUGUCAGUCAAAAGUGUGAGAUGAAUCAUCCUUCGGUGAUCUUGGACUAGAAAAUGGGGCCUGGCCAGGAUGUCAUGAUUCAAAUGGGAGGAACCAGUGAUACUUCAAUAAUCCCACAUCGAAUGAAAAGAAGUUUAUAAUUGAGAAUAUUAGGACCGGAGACUAUAAUACUUAUAACUAGACUUAUACAUUUUGGACUAGUAGCUUAGGGUCUAACGAGUUCUUACUGCCAAUGGGUCAGGUCGUCACAACUGGAGCUU